UCUGAAAGUAAGUACAAGAGGGACACACCCGUUCCCAUCCCGAACACGGUAGUUAAGCUUCUCUGCGCCAAUGGUAGUUGGGGGCUUCCCCCUGCGAGAGUAGGUCGCUGCCGGGC
rnacentral:rRNA from 1 species